CAACCCUCAAGCCUGGCUUGGUGAUGGGGCAACGCGGUCCGCCGCGUGCCUCAAAUCGACCGGCUGGGUCUUCUGUCCCCUAAGCGUUGUGGAAACUAUUCGCUAAAGGGUGCUCGGGAGGCUACGCCGUAAAACAACCCCAUUUCUAA
rnacentral:misc_RNA from 1 species